CCACGUGCCACCUCAUCCAAUGACUGUCAUUUCACAUGUAUCACUAUAAAUACUUUCCUUAUGUAACAUUGAAGGACUAAUGCAAGAAUCAAUACAAGAAACCACACUUUCUUCUCUCUUUCAUAUUGCUUUACAACAUUAUACGAGUUCAUACAUAUUUACAUUCAGAUUCAUGAGCACCGAUUGAUAAUUAUUGUACAAUCGAAUUACGAAUAUCCCGUCGGAUUCCGAACGUUAUCGUCCCGCAUCGUUGAGCUACUCCCACGCCCCUGAUUCUUUCGUCCUAGACCGUCCAUGUGUUUUAACGUAUAGGACCUUCGCUCACGCGUGUGUGAAUGAGUCCGGCAUCUGUUGACAACAUUUUUUGGGGUCAACAAGCAGGUUUGUUGAAUUUGACAGUAUCAUGUGAAAAUUUUUUUGUCUCAAAUAAUUAAAAGGUUUUGAAGUGAAAAUUCACGCCCAAAUAGGACCCAUAGCUAACGAAGUGCAAAAUACUGAUGUUCCGCUCCUACUUCAACAAGGCGGCCAUGAAGAGAUGAAUAAUCAACAACGAAAGGCAAACGAUAAAGUGUGACCGAUCAAUUAAAGGGGGAGCCCAGCAUGUGAAUUCCCAAACGAAAAUGGAGAGAAAUUUGUUGCCAUGGCAAUGACCCCACUUACCAGCUCAUCAAAGCAUCUAACAUAGAAUACGCAUCAUGUUCCAUAUAUUUCUUUGGGAUUCAAUUGAUGAGAAUCUGGGGAAACAUUCGAUUUGGGGUAAAAUUGAUUAGGUCUACAGAGGGAAGAUUAGGGAAAAUUAAAAAGUUG
rnacentral:lncRNA from 1 species